UCUACGGGAGGCAGCAGUGAGGAAUAUUGGUCAAUGGCCGCAGGGCUGAACCAGCCAAGUCGCGUGAGGGAUGACGGUCCUAUGGAUUGUAAACCUCUUUUGUCAGGGAGCAAAGGGCGCCACGUGUGGCGCUUUGCGAGUACCUGAAGAAAAAGCAUCGGCUAACUCCGUGCCCGCAGCCGCGGUAAUACGGAGGAUGCGAGCGUUAUCCGGAUUUAUUGGGUUUAAAGGGUGCGCAGGCGGAAGGUCAAGUCAGCGGUAAAAUGUCGGGGCUAAACCCCGUCGUGCCGUUGCACCUGUCGUUGUUUGGUGAGCGAGAAGUAUGCGGAAUGCGUGGUGUAGCGGUGACAUGCAUAGAUAUCACGCAGAACUCCGAUUGCGAAGGCAGCAUACCGGCGCUCAACUGACGCUCAUGCACGAAAGCGUGGGUAUCGAACAGGAUUAGAUACCCGGGUAGUC
rnacentral:rRNA from 1 species